GUUGUACGCUGGCGGAAUGCUUUACACAUGCAAGUCGAACGGUAGAGGGGGCAACCCCUCGAGAGUGGCGAACGGGUGAGUAAUAUAUCGGAACGUGCCCAGUCGUGGGGGAUAACGUAGCGAAAGUUACGCUAAUACCGCAUACGAUCUAAGGAUGAAAGCGGGGGAUCGCAAGACCUCGCGCGAUUGGAGCGGCCGAUAUCAGAUUAGGUAGUUGGUGGGGUAAAGGCUCACCAAGCCAACGAUCUGUAGCUGGUCUGAGAGGACGACCAGCCACACUGGAACUGAGACACGGUCCAGACUCCUACGGGAGGCAGCAGUGGGGAAUUUUGGACAAUGGACGCAAGUCUGAUCCAGCCAUUCCGCGUGCAGGAUGAAGGCCCUCGGGUUGUAAACUGCUUUUGUACGGAACGAAAAGGUCUCUCUUAAUACGGGGGACUCAUGACGGUACCGUAAGAAUAAGCACCGGCUAACUACGUGCCAGCCGCCGCGGUAAAAC
rnacentral:rRNA from 1 species